rnacentral:lncRNA from 12 species
CAUAUUUUGAUCUCUCUGUGUGUGAGUGGAAAUUAGAGCUACUUGCUUUGUCUUUGAAACAGGCAAAGGGUAUCAGCCUGGAUGACAUGCAUGCUGUUGAACUACAUCAAACCAAUGAUCUGAUCCUUAACAGUGAACAGUCCCUGGUCUUUUUAAAGGCAGAAAGAAAUUUUGUAACACAAAGACAGAAAUGAAGGAGGAAAGCGAGGAGAAGCAUUUCCCCAGACUUGAAGAUGUAGCCUCUUCUUCAUCUGCAGAUUUCCUUCCACACCAGACCUCCUGCUUAGUAGAUGCCGGGUACCUGCUAGGCCCAAGCAGACCAGACAUGAUGCUUUCCUGGAAGGAGGCUGUCUGCAGAGCCAUCUCCAUGGAGGGCAAGGAUGGGAAGAGCCCAAAGUCUCAUUCACCAUGUCUCCCAUGAAAGAUUAUAAGAGUCCCAUAAAGGAGCAGACCAGACGGCAAAGAGGAGGUGUUGAUGCCCAUCCACGAAAAUGGUCUUCCCCCCACUUCAAGAGCACAUCUACUUACACAAGCAUGGAGCCCAUUUCGCAGGAGGCGCUCGUAAAUGUUUAUUAAAUGAAUAUGUGGUAUUCAGCUUGUAGCAUUGCUCAGAUGGUUAAGAGUCAAAUGGGUGGUAAGUUUAUUAAACUCAGAGCUUUUUAGUGAUGUGACCCCAGAGCCUAUACAGAAUUGAGAGUCAGCAAAGAAGUGUUUGAGAUCAUGCACUUUACAAAGAUUUAUCCAGGGGAGACCGUCUCCACACCCACCUGCACUUUGUACAUUUGAAAAGGGGACUACCAUUUUCUGACUAAUCUAGGAAAGAUGUGCAAGCCAGGGUUGUUGCACCCAGCACAUGUUCAUUUCAUUAUUGUAUCCAUGAUUGAGAAAAUGAUCCCCUAUCAUUGUGAACAUCAGAUAAAAUAUAAAAUACACAAACUAUUCUUUUUUAGCCUCAAAAUCGGACUUCAUUAAAUCCCCUCCCCAGAUUAUUAAAGACUAAUUGCAGAUUGAGGAUUGACGUGAUGGUGGGGAGAGAGGGAAUAUGGGAUCAUAUGGAAGGAUGCAGCUGUCAGAAGCACCAGUGAGGUCAUUAUAGGAAACUUUGUACUCAGCCACUAUUCCACCAUUUGCUAUUUUCAUGACCCUGGUCAAGGAAUUGAACUUCUAUGAGACUCAUUUAUAAAAGCUAAUAUUGUCUUCCUCACUGGGUUGUGGUAAUGAUAGAAUCAGGUCACUUUUCUACCGUGCUUAGCAUCAUGCCCAGGACCUAAUAAGCAACAUUCUGAUGUCAGCCCUACCUGAAUAUGUAAUAACACAAAUCAUCCAACAUGCUUUUCAGAACACGACCAUCAAGGUGAAAAAACUGAAAUCAUGAGAGAGGAAUUUGCAUCUUGGGUGAUCAGUGGGAACCUUUGUCCCCAAAUGUAUUAUUUUCAAAUAAAUCAGUAAGUUCCAGUCUUUCUAAGCA